AGAGUUUGAUCAUGGCUCAGGAUGAACGCUAGCUACAGGCUUAACACAUGCAAGUCGAGGGGCAGCAUGGUCUUAGCUUGCUAAGGCCGAUGGCGACCGGCGCACGGGUGAGUAACACGUAUCCAACCUGCCGUCUACUCUUGGACAGCCUUCUGAAAGGAAGAUUAAUACAAGAUGGCAUCAUGAGUCCGCAUGUUCACAUGAUUAAAGGUAUUCCGGUAGACGAUGGGGAUGCGUUCCAUUAGAUAGUAGGCGGGGUAACGGCCCACCUAGUCUUCGAUGGAUAGGGGUUCUGAGAGGAAGGUCCCCCACAUUGGAACUGAGACACGGUCCAAACUCCUACGGGAGGCAGCAGUGAGGAAUAUUGGUCAAUGGGCGAGAGCCUGAACCAGCCAAGUAGCGUGAAGGAUGACUGCCCUAUGGGUUGUAAACUUCUUUUAUAAAGGAAUAAAGUCGGGUAUGCAUACCCGUUUGCAUGUACUUUAUGAAUAAGGAUCGGCUAACUCCGUGCCAGCAGCCGCGGUAAUACGGAGGAUCCGAGCGUUAUCCGGAUUUAUUGGGUUUAAAGGGAGCGUAGAUGGAUGUUUAAGUCAGUUGUGAAAGUUUGCGGCUCAACCGUAAAAUUGCAGUUGAUACUGGAUAUCUUGAGUGCAGUUGAGGCAGGCGGAAUUCGUGGUGUAGCGGUGAAAUGCUUAGAUAUCACGAAGAACUCCGAUUGCGAAGGCAGCCUGCUAAGCUGCAACUGACAUUGAGGCUCGAAAGUGUGGGUAUCAAACAGGAUUAGAUACCCUGGUAGUCCACACGGUAAACGAUGAAUACUCGCUGUUUGCGAUAUACAGCAAGCGGCCAAGCGAAAGCGUUAAGUAUUCCACCUGGGGAGUACGCCGGCAACGGUGAAACUCAAAGGAAUUGACGGGGGCCCGCACAAGCGGAGGAACAUGUGGUUUAAUUCGAUGAUACGCGAGGAACCUUACCCGGGCUUAAAUUGCAGAUGAAUUACGGUGAAAGCCGUAAGCCGCAAGGCAUCUGUGAAGGUGCUGCAUGGUUGUCGUCAGCUCGUGCCGUGAGGUGUCGGCUUAAGUGCCAUAACGAGCGCAACCCUUGUUGUCAGUUACUAACAGGUUCUGCUGAGGACUCUGACAAGACUGCCAUCGUAAGAUGUGAGGAAGGUGGGGAUGACGUCAAAUCAGCACGGCCCUUACGUCCGGGGCUACACACGUGUUACAAUGGGGGGUACAGAGGGCCGCUACCACGCGAGUGGAUGCCAAUCCCCAAAACCUCUCUCAGUUCGGACUGGAGUCUGCAACCCGACUCCACGAAGCUGGAUUCGCUAGUAAUCGCGCAUCAGCCACGGCGCGGUGAAUACGUUCCCGGGCCUUGUACACACCGCCCGUCAAGCCAUGGGAGCCGGGGGUACCUGAAGUGCGUAACCGCGAGGAGCGCCCUAGGGUAAAACUGGUGACUGGGCUAAGUCGUAACAAGGUA
rnacentral:rRNA from 1 species